UUUUUUUUUAAUUAACUAUUUACUUAGUUAGAACUAGUUUAGUGUUCACAUGUUGAUUUACAGCUAAUGUAGCGGUACUGCAACUAUGCAAAAAUCCUGAGGGUAGGAGAAGUUGAAAUUGGCCAGUUAGUAUUGGCCCACUGUCAGGCUGAUUUCUUCUUUACUCUUAAACCAAACCUGUGAUUCUCUGCCAAGAUUAUAAGUCUGCCAUGGGAAGUAAUUCUUACAAUUAAUAUAGCCCCUUACCCUUCAGCUUUCCUUAAUGUCAUGCUCUGCUAGACCUGCCCAUAGAGAGUUUUUAAAGCCUUAAGUCACAAAAAGUAGCAGAAACACAAUACUUAAAAUACAUGGUCUGACUCUCCAGCUGGUACAAGCAUUACACCACUGCAAAUACUGACGUUAGAACCCAUUUGCAAUGGUUCUACAGUUCUCGUGCCUAAGAACACAGAAAUUGACUUUUCGGUUUACUCUCCUCUCACUGGAUGCAUCACAGUCUUGGGAAAGCCAUCACUUCACACGCGACUGUGACAUUCCAGAAUGCAGACGUUUGCACAAGCAAAAACACAUGUUGCUUAUAAAGGUAUGCUAAGGUUCACAUUAGACAGAAUUAUGGAGCUUUACCUACUGAUUCUCGAAGUAUUAUUCCUACGUUGCUAAUACGCACACACUGAUAUUCUUCAUAGAAUAGCAUUUUACCUAUGAAAGAUGCAGAGACCUCUUUUUCACUUGAGGUAGAGUAUCUUUUGAAGAAAUGUUUUCUGGGCCACAAAUGUUUGUGGAUAAAAGGGCACUCAUGGCUGGCUAACACUACAAUAGCACCACAAUAAGUUUGUCUGUAUAAAGUUCUGGAGCGAUUGAUCGAAAAAAAUGCCUUAUAAAAAAAAAAAAAGGUAUGACAUCAAAAUUUAUAUUAAAAAAACCCUUUAAAAGUCCUUUUCCAUUGACUUCUAACUCCUAUUGCAUGCUUAUUUUUUCAAAAGUUUAUUGUCACACAUUAUGAUUUUCCAGCUUUGAGAUUGGUUUGUAUGUUUCUAAAAAUUUCCAAAAACAUUUCUUGAGAAUGUUGUAUUUACUGGCAUGUGCCUGAUUCACAGCCUAUUUUGGUGAAUGGAAGGAAGUACUCCUAGCAAUAUCAGUGUGUGCAAGUCUGUAAAUUUGUUGCAAAUCAUUAAAAAUUAUCUCAGGAAUCAACAGGAUAUCAUACUAUUACAUCAUAUGGCUUAGAAUUUGGGGAAAAAUAAUGAAUGGGGAAGACUGCCUUAUUUGUGUUAAUAACCAUAUAGUGUAAUUAUUCAGUGCAUCCAAAUGAGUACAGUACAUUUUUGACAUUUAAAAAAUGUGAAACACAAGAACAGCUGAACUCUCAUAUAUAUUCUCAGGCAGAUACACUGGCAAAUGCCCCUCAAUAUACAGGCUCCUCUUUGAUUUACAGUAUUCACAUGGGCAAUUAAAACUUCCAUCCUCUCAGCCUGAGGCCAAGCAAGGCUUUGCUGGAAUCCUUCAGCUGCCAGAUGAGCAGAGUUCCAGAACUUUCACAGAUUUUUCUUGCAUCCUCCUGCAAUAAAACGACUGCCAAGGUUAACUGUCAGAUAUUUGUAGGGAGCAGUAAAUCUCACAGAGAGAAAGGUAUUUCCC
rnacentral:lncRNA from 1 species